rnacentral:sRNA from 1 species
GCCAGGCGGGGUGGCGCACACCUAUAAUCCCAGUGGCUCGGGAGGCUGAGGCAGGAGGAUCGCGAGUUCAAAGCCAGCCUCAGCAACAGUGAGACCCUGUCUCUA